CUGCGACAAAAUAGGGAGGUUGUGUGCUUGAUUUGCACAGUGCAACUCAAGUUGUAAGCAUCUUGCAUGGGACCAUCUGAUGCACAAGACUUUCCUCUUGAUGAGUAAAAUGAUCUGAUAUCAGACAUUUGAGUUCCUUUGCAGCUUAAGGAGUUAAUCCUAUUUAUCUUAGAGAACAGCAAUUCAACUAUCUGGCUGGCUUGACAAAUAACUAUACACCAACAAUGUGUACAAAGGCAAUUAAGUGUAUCCUUGGAAAAUUUUAUCUGAGAUUAUGCAGAGUUGUUUACAACUUUUUUGUUCAAGCCUAGUGACUUAUUUCAGUGCAUGAAAAUCAUCCCACCUUUCAUCCUGUCCUGACAAACUGGGAUCAUGUAAACAGCACAUUUAGCCAUUAAGUUGAUUUGCACUCUAAUUUUCCAACUUUUAUUAUUUAACUCUGUCUAACGUCAUACAAUUUUAUUAAGCAGGGGGUACACUGGCAGUUAAUUAAUGGGUAACUAGACACAUGGGCAGUCUCAUUAUGAAGCAUAAAAUCGUCUAGCGUUGGACAGUAAAAUACUCAAGUAGAGCAUGCAUCAGGGCACAGUACAACCUAAUGGUUAAAUUUGUUUUUUGUAGCAAAAUGGUUUAAGUUUUAUAUCUGAAUUUUUAAUUUAUUUUUUUUGCUUUGUUUUACAGAUCAUUACUUGAACGUGCUGAUGAAAUAUUGAUUUAUAAAAUAUCAUGUUACCAAGAUGACAUGCCUCGAAGAGCAAUACAUGAGGGAAUACCUCUAUUUCUAAUCAAAUUACAACAAUACACCAAAGACAGUAGUUCUCGGAUGAAAUGAAAGGAUUGAUAAAUGUUCAUGGCCAGCAGUGGAUAUUUGUGACUAUAAUAAAUGGAUACAAAGAAACUAUGAUGGGAUAAAUAUGGCCCCGUAAUGGAUAUUCAGUUGAUGGACAUACAAAGGUCACAGAAAUGUCUAUUUUCAGGUACUGUUCUUUCUUGUUUGCCUGCGAACAGGCUGUAGAUACUUGUAUCCAGGCCAUUGUUUGUUUGUUUUUUGUUCUGGGUACAAUGAAAUCCGGCAUAAAUCCUGGCGGUCUAAAUGUUCAGUAUAUUUACAAAUUCGAUCUAAUUUUCUGUUCAGUAGACUUUGAUAGCUUGAAAGAAAGUUUAUAACGAUGAUUUUCUCUGCAAAAACUGUACUUUCGAAAUUCGUCAGCUUCUGAAUUUGAUAACCGAUCUGAAAAAAAAGGAACAUUUGAGUGUAUGGUUAUUGCAUGGUUCUAUAUACAGGGUUCUCCUUAUCAGGCGGUAACCGGUAAAAUUUACCGUUUCCACGAGCACUGAUUACCGCCUGGAGAAGCCCAAGUUAAAUAUACGGUUG
rnacentral:lncRNA from 1 species